AUUGAACGCUGGCGGCAGGCCUAACACAUGCAAGUCGAGCGGAGCGGCGGACGGGUGAGUAAUGGCUAGGAAUCUGCCUGGUAGUGGUGGAUAACGUUCGGUACCGGGCGCUGAUACCGCUUCCUCUCAGUUUAGCCUAGGUCGGAUUAGCUAGUUGGUGGGGUAAAGGCCUACCAAGGCGACGAUCCGUAACUGGUCUGAGAGGAUGAUCAGUCACACUGGAACUGAGACACGGUCCAGACUCCUACGGGAGGCAGCAGUGGGGAAUAUUGGACAAUGGGCGAAAGCCUGAUCCAGCCAUGCCGCGUGUGUGAAGAAGGUCUUCGGAUUGUAAAGCACUUUAAGUUGGGAGGCGUUACCAACAGAAUAAGCACCGGCUAACUUCGUGCCAGCCGCCGCGGUAAUAC
rnacentral:rRNA from 1 species